rnacentral:rRNA from 1 species
CGUUCCCAGGCCUUGUACACACCGCCCGUCACAUCAUGAAAGCCGGUUGUACCCGAAGUCGCCCCUCAAAAGGUGCCGAAGGUAUGGCUGGUGAUUGGGAUG